UUCCGGUUGAUCCUGCCGGACCUGACUGCUAUCGGAUUGAUACUAAGCCAUGCGAGUCAUUGUAGCAAUACAAGGCAGACGGCUCAGUAACGCGUAGUCAACCUAACCUAUGGACGGGAAUAGCCUCAGGAAACUGAGAAUAAUGCCCGAUAGAACACUAUGCCUGGAAUGGUUUGUGUUCCAAAUGAUUUAUCGCCGUAGGAUGGGACUGCGGCCUAUCAGUUUGUUGGUGAGGUAAUGGCCCACCAAGACUAUUACAGGUACGGGCUCUGAGAGGAGUAGCCCGGAGAUGGGUACUGAGACACGGACCCAGGCCCUAUGGGGCGCAGCAGGCGAGAAAACUUUGCAAUGUGCGAAAGCACGACAAGGUUAAUCCGAGUGGUUUGUGCUAAACAGACCUUUUGUUAGUCCUAGAAACACUAACGAAUAAGGGGUGGGCAAGUUCUGGUGUCAGCCGCCGCGGUAAAACCAGCACCUCAAGUGGUCAGGAUGAUUAUUGGGCCUAAAGCAUCCGUAGCCGGCUCUGUAAGUUUUCGGUUAAAUCUGUAUGCUCAACAUACAGGCUGCCGGGAAUACUGCAGAGCUAGGGAGUGGGAGAGGUAGACGGUACUCGGUAGGAAGGGGUAAAAUCCUUUGAUCUAUUGAUGACCACCUGUGGCGAAGGCGGUCUACCAGAACACGUCCGACGGUGAGGGAUGAAAGCUGGGGGAGCAAACCGGAUUAGAUACCCGGGUAGUCCCAGCUGUAAA
rnacentral:rRNA from 1 species